UACGUAGGGACCGAGCGUUGUCCGGAAUCAUUGGGCGUAAAGAGCGUGUAGGCGGCCACUUAAGUCCUGCGUGAAAUCUUGCGGCUCAACCGCAAGCGGUCGUGGGAAACUGGGUGGCUAGAGUUCGGGAGAGGAGAGUGGAAUUCCUGGUGUAGCGGUGGAAUGCGCAGAGAUCGGGAGGAAGGCCGGUGGCGAAGGCGGCGCUCUGGAACGUUUCUGACACUGAGGCUCGAAAGCGUUGGGAGCAAACAGG
rnacentral:rRNA from 1 species